UCAAAUAAAACAGAAACAAAGAUGCCUAUGAAAAAUAUGCUUUCCGCCGUUUUGUUUAGCAGUACGCGUAAUUUUUUAGAUUCCUAAUGAGAACUUUUGUUUUAGGAACGCAACGAACGUAUGACCGCCGUUCGGCAAUCCAACCGAAAAGAUCACAGCGAGUUCCCGGAUUCAACUUCCCUCUUCGAUGCGAGGAAGACGUUGAACGUCUAGAAAAGCUGGUCACCAUUGACGAGCACAUCAGAGAACAAUACGUGCGCUACCUCGCAUCGGUGAAAAAACCUCAGGAACGAGUCAAUUCCGUGAUCAACCAAAUUUUUACCGACAAAGUGCUGUGCGAUUUCACCUUCCAUGGUUUGGUGAAUUCCAGCUACUGCAAAAAAGCGAUCAAAAAUUAUCUCAUUUUUACCGAUUGUCUAAUAGAUGCCUGGACUGAGCACGGGGUCACGAUGGAAACUUUGAAACCGGAGCUCAUACGGGCGGUCCAACGAGCCAAGCAACAUCUUUCCUCGGCCCGCUACUAUCAGCGGUACAAGCCUCGGCUGUUGGCGAAGCGUAAAGAAAAUUGGCACAAAAAGCGGGGGGCAGUGGAAGAUGGCUCAGAGAAUGAAUAAUGGUUGAAAUCAAACAAUACAGUAGCUAACUUGUUGUCGAAAAACAUUUGUCAAGUGGUGGCUCCAAAUAGUCGUACUGCAAGCACCUUUGGAUUUCGUUCGUCAUGUUUUUUAUUACUCAUUUUUUUGCCAUUUUUUAUAUUCAUAGUGUUUGUAGGAAAAUGUUUUAUAAACGAGUUCGCCAUAUGAAAGACGAAAACAACUCAAAGUGUGAUCACACAUGAUGAAUAAAAUCGACGACUUUUUUUAACAUUCCGUGUUUUUGAUGGCCUUCGGGUAAUAUUGUGGUUAACAAAUUAAGUGCCGAAAAUGUAUGAAAACACGUUGAGAGGUGGCUCCAGAGAGUCUGUAUUCAAGUAGACUUGUUACUUUUUAAUUCAUUUUGGGAUUUUUGUAAACAUUUUUUGAGAGUUUUACUAAAAUGCAACUUAAUUGACACGUAGAGCGAAAUUCAGUAAAAAACUGUAGUGAAAAUAAAUUAUUUAUAAAAUUGGAGACAUUUUGACGCCCUGAUAUUAGUAGCAAUGAUAAAAAUAUUUCAUUAUCAAACACCAGCAGAUUAUUGAAAUCCAUUGUUCGUUAUUCCACCGGGAGGUUGUGAUGAAGAAAGAAGAUACACCAAUGAUCACGUAAAUUAUUGUUAAUUAAUUAAUGUUAAUAAGUGUGCACAGCUGUGCGUGAGAUGUGAGAAAUGUGAGAAAAACGAGAGGAACCGAUGCCCAUAAGGAAUUUUUUUUUAAAUGUACAAAUUGUGCAGUUACUGUGAAACUUUAAUCUUCAUCAUACCAAAUACAAAUAAUUCUCUCUCUAUUGCAAUCCAUCGAUUUUCAGACGGCAUUCAACUUAGAGAAAGUAGCUAGUGGUGGCUCCAGAGAUUUAAAAUGCGAGUAAUCUAGAUCAUUCGUAAAUCGGUUUGCAUCUCAAUCCAUGAAAAUGGGUAUCGAAAAAAGGGUAGUGCCUCCAGAGAGUUUCAAUGGCAUAUGCCUCUUUAUCUGGUUAGAAAAUACACCAGCUGCACAACUAAUGAAGAUAGAUAUUCAUAACUCUGGAGAAGUUAGGAAAUUUAUGACCUCUUACACUGAAACACGCAAUGUGCAAUAGGAUAAUCUUCAAGGUCCACUUAAAAAUAUUUUGAUCAAUGAUUAAUAUAUCAAGAACCAAAAAAAUAAAAAAAAAGAUGAAAAUAACAAAAGUGACAAAAAUUCCAGAAAUGACAAAAAUAAAAAAAUUACAAAAAUGACAAAAAUUACCGAAAUGAUGAAAUAAAUGACAUAAAUGACAUAAAUGCCGUAAAUGACAUAAAUGGCAUAAAUGACAAAAAUGACUAAAAUCUCAAAAUUGAUAAAAAUGAGAAUUACAAAAUUGAUGAAAAUGACAAUGAUAACGAAAUAUCAAAAAUGACAAUGAAACAGUAAAUAAAAAACCAAAAUGACAAAACCUACAAAAAUGACUAACAUAGUAAAAACAGAUAUUACAAAAAUGACAUAAAUGACAAACAUUACAAAAAUAAAAAAAAUGACUAAAAUGGCGAUAAUGACAAAAAUGAUAAUAAUCAGAAAAAAAAGGCAAAAAGGACAAAAAGGACAAAAAUGACAAAAAUGAUAAAAAUGACAAGAAUGAGAAAAAUGACAAAAAUGACAAAAAUAACAAAAAUGACAAAAAAGAAAAAAAUGACAAAAGUGACAAAAAUGACAAAAAAGAAAAAAAUAACAAAAAUGACAAAAAUAACAAAAAUGACAAAAAUGACUGAACGUUCCAAAAAUUGGGCAGCCCUUCUGUUUAACUUAUAUUUCAGUUAUAUUGGCACCACUGUCUAUUUGAAGUGAAUAGAAUAAAUCUAACCGUUGUGCAAGUCAGACGCGUUUUUUAUUUCCUCCAUUCUAGCUGAAAAAUCAUUCGCUUUUCCUCUCGCUAAAUUUCUGAGCUGUGCGAAAAACAUUUUGGUCCUAAUCGAUCCGGAUAGCCUGAGGAAUUUUGAAUGAUUUCCGGCUAUCGAAAAGUUUAUCGCGAUUAAAUUCGUACCGUGUGCGAAAAUUUUCGGCUCGACGCCAUUUUUGUGACUCUGUGUGUGUGCGCGCAUCGCACAAGUUCAAAGACAUUCCACCAUAUUGGUGAAAAGUGCUCGAAGCACAAUUGUGUGAAGAGUUCCGCCAUCUUGGCGAAGAAGUGUGUGUGUUCUCGUAGCACAUUAGUGGAAAAAGUCCGCCAUCUUGGCGAAAAGUCUGACUGUAUAGUAUAGUGUGUGUGCCCGUGGCACUAGUGUUAACUGGUCCACCAUCUUGGUGCCGAGUGUGUGAUCGUGCCCAAGGCACAAGUGAAAAUAAAACUGUCAGCCAUUUUGGCUAAAAUUAAAAUUGAAUUGAAUUUGAAAAAAAAAGUGUUUCCUACAAGAGGAAAAAAUAAAAAGUGAUUGCCACCUGCGGGUGCAUAAUAAAAAGUGCUACAAAAUCAAUGUCCGAAUCGGAAACUCCUCAUCGAGCUAAUCCAGGCAAGUUUCCGAGGAAUAUUCUGCCAUCUGUCGCAGAACAGAAAACCGCCCAGGCUUUACGUGACCAGCAGCGCAAGAUGGCUCGGGAAUUGACGAUUCUUCUCGACCGCCGUGAAUUGAUUUACGAGAAACUGCUUCGGAUAAAUGACUCCCUCAAGCCUGAACCUGUGAGUAUCCAUUUACUAAAGCUCCACCUGGAGACGCUCCGAAAAUGUGUAGGGGAUUUCGAUCAAGUACACAUGGAAAUCGUCGCUAGCAAGCCGAGAGAUGAGCGAGAAGAACAAAAGGAGCAAUAUCUGCGUUUUGAGACACUCCACAACCAGCUUUAUGUUGCGCUCCAAACAAAAAUUGAUUGUCUCACUCCCGCUCUCCCAUCGACCAGCAGUAAAAUGGCUCGACCAGUUCCCCCGCAACAUGUGUACGUCCAAGCUGCCGCUCCGCAACUUCAUGCUCCGUUUCCGGUAUUCGAUGGCAACCCGGAGAAUUGGUUUAGCUUCAAGAGCCUCUUCCAGAGCAUCAUGCAGCGCUACGUCAAUGAGAUUCCUGCCAUGAAAAUCCUUCAUCUCCGAAACGCGUUGUUAGGCGAUGCCAAGAACAAAAUCGACCAAGAUGUCAUAAACACCAACGAUUAUGACUUGGCGUGGAGGAUUUUGGAAAACGCCUACGAGGAUCGACGACUGAUUUUGGAUACACACAUUGACGCCAUACUGGAUUGUCCGAAAGUCACCAACGAACAUCGAGGUAAAAAUAUUGCAAAGCUGGUCGAAACAUGCACCAAACACGUCGAUGCUCUUCGCGGUCAUGGUUUCCCAGUAGAAGGGUUGGCUGAGCUUCUACUUGGCGUUGGCUUUUCAUCGUCAAUGUGCUGUAUAAGAAACUCGACAAAGAUACCAAAGAACAAUGGGAAACGAAACUUCCUAGAAAUGAGCUCCCUGAGUUCCAAGAAUUCAUUGAAUUCCUGCGUGAAAGAGGACGGGUUCUGUUGCGAACGAACUGCUCCGAGCACCCGAGCCAGCAGUCAAUUUCCUCUUUUAGGCAGCGUCCAUCAGUCCCACUAAAACCAGCUGCAAGAUCAUUCUUCCAGAUGGCGAGGCAAUCGUGUCCCUGCUGCAAGGAAGAUCACUCCAUCUACCGGUGUCCCAAAUUCCAACAAUUGAAUUUGCCGGACAAGAAGGUUGUCGUCUCAAGGGCCAGUCUUUGUUUCAACUGCUUGCGAGCACUUCAUCGAGUCAGAGAGUGUCCGUCCGAGCGAGGGUGCAAGGUGAAAGGAUGCAAUCGAAAGCACCACAGUUUCUUGCAUCCCACCAACUCAACCAGUAGCGUAAAGAUGCCAGCUGAUGGUGCCGCUGAAACGCCAACACCAUCUAAGUACACCACUGCAACAAUGUGUGCUCACUUGGGAGCAGCCACAAAGCAGGUGCUACUAUCGACAGCGCAAGUGCUGGUUGUUGGGAAGGGUGGCUCCACUGUUAAGUGUCGAGCGCUUCUUGACUCCGGAUCCGACAGUCAUAUCAUCAGUGAGAGUUUGGCCUCCAAGCUUAUGAUCAACAUGCGACCAGUUGAACUUCCGGUUAGUGGACUCAACGACACUCAGACCCGUGUAAAUUAUACUCUCUCGACACGCAUCAAAUCAUGUGCCAAAGACUUUACCACCUCCGAGCUGGAAUUUUUGGUUGUGCCAUCUGUGUCUGCCAACCUACCCCAAUGCGAAGUACAUACACGAACAUUAGAUAUUCCGACCGGUCUUCCAUUGGCAGAUCCAGCUUUCUAUGUCCCUGAUCCGGUUGACGUAAUCAUCGGUAACGAAAUCUUCUUCGACUUGGUACGAGAUGGUAGAUUGAAAAUGAGCAACAGCAGCCUCACCCUAGCAGAAACAGAAUUGGGCUGGGUGAUGUCAGGUUCUGUUCAGCCUAGGAAACCCAAACCUCUUCCACGUGUGUGCCAAUUGAACCAUAAACAGGCCGAACUUUAUGCGAAUUCACCGUGGAAAGAUUCAUCGCAACCUGGCUAUUCUUGUGAAGAAACGGUGCGUGCUAAUAACGUUGGUUGGAAAGCAGUGGCGACUUGGAAGCAUCGUGACUUUUCAUCCAGGCGAAGACAACAUCGACGGUACUGCUCAAAUAGCUUCGGUUGAUCUCGAUGUCGAGACUCAACGGGGGGUGAAUGAACGUUCCAAAAAUUGGGCAGCCCUUCUGUUUAACUUAUAUUUCAGUUAUAUUGGCACCACUGUCUAUUUGAAGUGAAUAGAAUAAAUCUAACCGUUGUGCAAGUCAGACGCGUUUUUUAUUUCCUCCAUUCUAGCUGAAAAAUCAUUCGCUUUUCCUCUCGCUAAAUUUCUGAGCUGUGCGAAAAACAAUGACAAAAAUAACAAAAAGACAAAAAUAACAGAAAGGACAAAAACAACAAAAAAUGAAAAAAAUAUCAAAAUGACAAAAAUUACAAAAAUGACAAAAUGACGAAAAGGACAAAAAUUACAAAAAUAACAGAAACGACAAUAAUGACUAAAAUGACUAAAAUAACUAAAAUGACAAAAAUGAACAAAAUGACAAAAAACACAAAAAUGACAAAAGUGACAAAAAUGACAAAAGUGACAAAAAUGACAAAAGUGACAAAAAUGACAAAAAUGAAGAAAAUGACAAAUAAGCCAAAGAUGACAGAAAUAACAAAAAUGACAAAAAUGAUAAAAAUGACGAAAAUGACAAAAAUUACAAAAAUUACAAUAAUGAUAAAUAUGACAAAAAUGACAAAAAUAACAAAAAUGACCAAAAUGACGAAAAUGGCAGAAAUGCCAAAAAUGACCAAAAUGACAAAAAUGACAAAACGAUAAAACUUACAAAAAUUAUAAGAAUGACGGAAAUUACAAAAAUUACUAAAAUAACAAAUAUGAUAAGAUUUAAAAAACAACAAAAAUGAUCAAAUGACAAAAAUUAUAAAAACUGCCAAAAAUGACGAAAAUGACUAUUAUUACAAAAAUUAUCAAAUUAACAAAAAGAACAUAUCUGACAAAAAAAGCAAAGUUAUCAAAAAUGACAAAAUAUUCAAAAAUUUUAAAAAUGACUUUACGAAGAAAUGACAAAAAUGAGAAAAAUUACAAAAAUGACAAAAGUGACAAAAAUGACAAGAAUGGCAAGAAUGACAAGAAUGACAAAAAUGACAAAAAUGGCAAUAACGACAAAAAUGACAAUAAUUGCAAAAAUGACAAAAAUUACAAAAUUUACAAAAUUGACUUAAAUGACAAAAAAGAUAAAAAUGACAAAAAUGACAGAAAUGACAAAAUUGUCAAAAAUGACAGAAAUAAAACAAAAAUGACUCAUAUAACAAUUAUGACAAGAUUGAAAGAAUGACAAAAAUGAUCAAAUAACAAAAAGACAAAAAUUUUAAAAGAAUGAUAAAAAUUACAAAAAUGACAAGAUUUACAAAAAUGACUAAAUCGACCAAAAUGACGAAGAAGACAAAAAUGACAAAACUAACAAAAAUGUAAAAAAAAACAAAAAUGUAAAAAAUUACAAGAAUAACAAAUAUAACAAAAAUGGCAAAAUGAAAAAUAGAAAAAAAAGACAAAUUGAACAAAGAUGACAAAAAGUCCAAAGCUACAAAAGAGCUACCAAGAGAAACUUAUGCCCAGAAAGAGAAAUGGCGUGAAUUGCACAAAUUGUGUGAAAAUUUAAUCAUUAUCAAACCAAAUACAAAGAAUUCUCACUCUAUUGCAAUCUAUCGUAAUUUUCAGAUACCAAAUCUUCAUGACAAUACAUGAAUACAUGACAACACAAAAAUAACAAAAAAACAUUAAAAUUACAAAAGUGACCAAAAUGCCAGAAAUUACAAAAACGGAAAAAAAUUACCAUAACAUUAAAUAAAAAUAAAAAAUUUCCAUAGAUGAUAAAAACGCUUAAAAUGAAAAAAAUUCACAAGAACCGAAAAAAAUACAAUAUUAACAGAGACGACAAAAAAUACAAAAUCAAUAUGAAUUACAAAGAUGACAAAAAAUACAAACAUGUCAAAAAUGAUAAAAGUGAAAAAAAUAAAAGUGACAAUAAAGAUAAAAAUUACAAAAAAAAAAACACAAAAAUAAAAAUAAAAAAGAAACAAUACAAAACACAAAAAACAAAAACAAUAGAAAAAAUUACAAAAAUGACAAAAACGUUAAACAAGACAAAAAUCAAAACGAUUAAUUAUAACAAAAAUGACAAAAUAAACAAAAAAUGACAAAAAUAACAAAAAUUACAAAAAUGACAAAAAUAACAAAAAUGACAAAAAUGACAGAAAUGACAAAAAUGUCAAAAAUGACAGAAAAAAAAACAAAAAUGGCUCAAAUAACAAUUAUGACAAAAAUGAUCAAAUGACAAAAAGACAAAAAUUUUAAAAGACUGAUAAAAAUUACAAAAAUGACAAGAUUUACAAUAAUGACAAAACGACAAAAGACAAAAAUUACAAAAAUGACUAAAAUGAAAAAUGGAAAAAAAUGGCAAAUUUAACCAAAAUGUCCAAAGCUACAAAAAUUUAAAAAAUUACUCAAACGACAAAAAUAAUAAAAAGGUCAAAAAAUGACAAAAACGAAAAAUGACCUAAAAAAUUGACAAAAAUGUCAAAAAUUAUGAAAAGUUGAUAAAAACGACAAAAAAAAAAUAGAAAUUUCAAAAAAUGACAAAAAUUUCAAAAUUGACAAAAAUUACAAAAAUGAUAAAAGUGACAAAAAUGAUAAAAGUGACAAAAAUGAUAAAAGUGACAAAAAUGACAAAAAUUACAAAAAGGACAAAAAUGGUAAAAUGGCAAAAAAGACAAAAAUGACCUCAAAAAACACAAAAAAAUGGAAAUGUCAAAACAUUACAAAAACUUUAAAAUUGACAAAAACGACGAAAAUAGCAAAAAUGACAAAAAUGACAAAAGUGACAAAAAUGACAAAAAUAACAAAAAUGACAAAAAUGACAAUAAUGACAUAAAUGUUGAAAAUGAUAAAAUUCUGACAUUUUUGACAUUUUCAUCAUUUUUGUUAUUUUUGUCAUUUUUUCUUUUUUUCAUUUUCGUUAUUUUGGUCAAAAAUGACAAAAAUAACAAAAAUGACAAAAAUGACAAAAAUAACAAAAAUGACAAAAAAUGACAACAAUGACAGAAGUGACACAAAUGGCCAAAAAGACAAAAUUACAAAAAUAACAAAAAUGACAUAAAAUUACAAAAAUGCCAAAAAGACAAAAGUAGAAAAAAGAACAAAAAUGACAAAUAUGACUAAUGCGACAAAAAGGACAAAUAAGACAAAAAAUGAUAAAAGGGUAGAAAAUGACAAACAUGAACAAAAAUGAAAGAAACGAUUAAAAAUAACAAAUACGAUAAAAAGAUACAAAAAACGAAACAACAAUUGCUAAAUUUUUAAUAAUUACAGAAAUGAAAAAAAUAUAUAAUAACUCCAAUUUCUUUUUUCAGAUGAUUUUUACCCGGAGUAUUGAAAUUCAAAUAAACAAGAAUGUGUCCAAUGAUCCAUCAGGAAGAAGUAAAUUAACAAUUUUCAUUGAGCAUUGAGUAUUUUUUCAUGGAAAUAAAAUUUCGGAAUUCUUCCAACGAAACGCUUUUUUCUUAAAUGCUGAAAUAAAUUACAAAUCAAAACCAAACUGACUCUAAAAAUCUCAAUUUUUCCUUUCUUCAGGACUGAACACGAUUAUCAAAACCGAACCCACUUCGUUCGACUCGAGUCCUUUGCAGAACUUUCCGCCGGAAGCACUUCUUGCUUUUUCACUGUUCAAUCCCGGUCGGAUGCUGGAAUUGAUGGGAUUCAGCUUCCCGAUUCGAUGCGACGAAGACGUUGAGCGGCUAGAGAAGCUGGUCACGAUUGACAAUCAAGUGCGCGAGCAAUAUGUCCGCUUCCUUGCAACGGUAAAGAAGCCACGAGAACGCAUCCACUCGGUUAUGAAGAAGGUUUUCACUGCCCAGGCACUUUCCCAAUUCACCUACCACGGGCUAUCGACGGCUCAAUGUGCCAGGAAAGCGAUGAAAAACUAUUCCGUCUUUACGGAUUGUUUUUUGGAUGCCUGGCUGGGUCACGGUAUUACGACUGACAUGUUGAAGAACGAGCUUAUGCGAGCGGUCCAGAAAGCCAAGCUGCACCUCAACAAUGCCCGCUACUAUCAGCGAUACAAAUAUCUGCUGUUGGCCAAACGAAAGGAACGCUUCGAUCGGAAAAGGCAGCUCGAAGGGACCGAAAGUGAUAAAGUCUAGGUGGAAAACUGGAAAAAUGUAUUAGGGUAGCAACAGAUUAUUCGAAGUUAAUCUGGAAAACGGACAAGCUACAGACAACUCUCAAACAGAACCCUCUACCAGAAACCUCUUGUAAAGGUUACAAAUCGCCUGCUGCUCAAGAACUUAACAGGCCAAACCAGAAGAUGGGCCCAAGAAAAGCGAUCCGUGUGGCUGGAUUUGAAUUUCCCCUCACCUGCGAAGAAGAUAUCGAUCGAUUGGAGCUGAUGGUGAGCCGCAAUCCCGUGAUACGGAACCAAUAUAAAAUACCCGUCAACAAGCCCUGGUUCCCCGAACUAUAGCAUGGAAUUUACAAACAUUACUUUGUUUGCGCUUUUGAAUGAGCUUGGACUACAGGACCGGAUUAACUUCUAUCGAUUUCUGAUGCUGUUCCAGCAGCUAGUCCUACUGGCUUAGAAACGUCCCAUCAACAUGUAUGACUUUACUCUGAUGGCGAUCAUCUGAUUGAUUAUUUGUGCCUAUAUAAUCGAUAUGCAAAGGGAAAUCAAAAAUCAAGGAGUUAAAAAAAGGCUUUAUUGAUGUUUGUACCAGUAGUACAUGCUUGAUGCUCGUUUGAAACUGCAAAGUGACAUGCAAAAGCUAAUUUGUUUAAUGGAGAAAGAAAUGUUCUCCCUCUACCCAUGCUUUAUCAUUCACCUGGAAUACAGCACGAGCCGUCCAAAAAGUGAAAAAAAUCUCUUGACUUUUUGAGCAAAACAUUUCAAAUAUAUUAUAACGUUUCUAAAAAACCGAUUAUAAGUUAUUAGCGAGAGGCAUCCCAUCACAGCGUGCAACACCGUCGCAUCGAAUUGACAAACGAGGAACUAAUUUGCUCAACAAACAGCUUGCCGAGGCCUUUAAGUGCUACCCGGGGGCUAAUGAUAAGGUGAAGGUCCGCGUAGAAGGUUUCGAUUUUCCCCUCAAUGACGAGAGAGAUAUUGAACGACUUGAACAAUCCGUUCGCAACGACCGGCUGCUGAAACAAAAAUACAUCGAUUAUCUAGCGACAAAGAAACCACCAGCGGUUGACCUCGUCGAUGGAUUUAGUUUGUUCUUCACGGACGCUUCCAUGGUAAACUACAAUUGGAACGGAAUAUCCAGUCAUCGGUUUCCCAAAAAAGCCAUGAAGAAUUACCAGAUUUUUACUUUCUGUAUGCUUGAGGCUUGGCCAGGGCUCAACUCGGAACGUCUUGCGUCGAAGAUGAAGCGAGCUAUCGAAAAGAUCAAUAACAGACGCAAUGUGCAGCAUUCCAAGCGACGUCGUAAAGCGAGAAUCAAUAGUUUGGUGGAAAAUUUCGAGAUCCUCUGAAAGAUGACAUCAAAAGCCGAACUGACUGAAAUGUCGGAAAAAAAUAUAAUUUACGCUAUUAAGUGUCUAGGUUAUCGUUUUAACUUUCGAAUGUUAUCAGUUUAAGUAAUGAAAAACUUUUCAUCUCUAAUCUCAGAUUUGACGAUUUCAGACACAAGUUAGGUGAAAUAAAAAAAUGUUUUUAAAA